rnacentral:rRNA from 1 species
GACGUAGGGUGCAAGCGUUGUCCGGAUUUAUUGGGCGUAAAGAGCUCGUAGGCGGCUCGUCGCGUCGACCGUGAAAACCCGCAGCUUAACUGCGGGCCUGCGGUUGAUACGGGCGGGCUAGAGUUCGGUAGGGGAGACUGGAAUUCCAGGUGUAGCGGUGAAAUGCGUAGAUAUCUGGAGGAACACCGGUGGCGAAGGCGGCAUCCUGGACCGACACUGACGCUGAGGAGCGAAAGCCAGGGGAGCAAACGGG